rnacentral:rRNA from 1 species
AGAGUUUGAUCAUGGCUCAGAGUGAACGCUGGCGGCGUGCUUAACACAUGCAAGUCGAGCGGACUUUGGCAGCACAUCGCUAGAGUUAGCGGCAGACGGGUGAGUAACACUUGGGCAAUCUGCCCUCGAGAGGGAGACAACCUGCCGAAAGGCGGGCUAAUAUCCCGUAAGACCACAGGGUCGCAUGACCUAGGGGUCAA